GGGGGUAUAAGCUUAAUGGCAAACUGCGGGUCUCCAAAACCCGACUUCUAGGUUCGAAUCCUAGUACCCCCG
rnacentral:tRNA from 1 species